CUCGGCCACCGUCCGAUGGCCGCACGCCUUGAUGCGCCGAUAACGGUGCUGAAGGCCUUGUCUGGGCUCCCGCCGGGUCGUCCCCACAGCCCGGCCAGGACAAGGACAGUCUGGCUGUGUCAGGAGGGACCGGGGUCUCCCUGGGACCAGUUAGUCCCCCCGCGGGAGAAGCCGGUGGGAGUCCCGCCGCCCGGCCGUGACCCGUGAUGAUGGCCUCCCUCGGGUCCCGCCCUGGGACUGAUGGGACCGGAGCGCGCGCUGCCUGUCGUUGAUGUUACUUUACUUUUUCGGAAGCGCCGCAGCCGUGGGAUCGACGCCGCGGGGGAGGCGGGAUGGGGCCCCGGAGUCACAAUCCACGCCGUGUCCGUCUGUCGCUUGGCUCCAGGCCUUGGCCGUGCGCCUCUCCAGGUGGGAGACCCUGGGCACACCCAACCCUCAUAGAGAAGUGGCCGCGCCUCCUGGGUAGUGCUCGGGGCCUUAGAGAUCCGACUGGUGCGCCCCAAGCCCGGGGGCACCCUUGUUCCCACUGGGCAGGCAGGGAAGUCGGGGCUCAGAGACGCGGCCCGGUGGCCCGGCGGGUGGGCCUGCUGAUGGAGCCUCACGGUCCUGGCUCUGCGUGAGGCCUUCCUCGGGCGAGGGGAGCUCACCCCCGGGGACCCCUCGCCUUUGCCGCGAGGUGACGGGGGCCUGGCGUGCGAUCGGCCGGCGCGUAGGUCGCCACCACUUACACGUUAGAGCCUCAGAGCGGAGACCCCUGUUGAGGUGUCCCAGCCCGUGGCGACGACCGGCUGCAGGCCUAGGUGGGGAGAUUCCAGAGACUUCUCUCCUGUGGUUCCCACGAUCUCUCCCUGGACGUGGGGCGGGGCUGCCCCGCUGGAUACUGCCCCACGCGGGGGCGACCUCGCGGGCGUGCACGAUCCUUACGCAGAGUCCACGGGCCUCCGAUAUUUAUGUCGUGACGGAGACCUAGUGCCUGGCCCCCUGCCCCAGGGCACAAGUGUGCCCAGCUUCCAGAAACUUCCUCAGCCCAUCCAGGAGGGCAGCCCCAUCCCACUAACAGCUCGCUUGACCACGGGCCGUCUCGUAGGGGCGCGUCUCUAGGAGGCCUCUGCCCAGGACAGUCCACAAGUACUCGCUGAGCCGCCUCCCCCGGGGAGGCUGGGCCUCGUUUUCCAGCGAGGCGGGAGAGGUAGGUCCUUCCUGGAAGGUGGGGCCCCGGAGGCUGCCACUGGGCCAGGUGUGGACGACGGUUAUGGAGGGAGCACCUCGCCGGAGCUUCGGGGGCUGCUGGGGAAUCGGGGUUUCCGUCCUGCUGGCUCUCGCCUUCCUCCUACCUGUGCAGCAGGUGGUCAGUGCUCUGCAGCCGCGGGCCCGGGCGACAAGUGAUCUUAGUUGGACGCCCGUGGCCUCCGAGCGCCCUCAGGCUUUGGGACGUUGAACCCGAGGAGGUGAACAGAGGAGCAGCUGACGCAGGACGACGAUGCGGAGGAGGUGGAGAUCGCUGUGGACAACACGGCCUUCAUGGAUGAGUUCUUCGCCGAGAUCGAGGACACGCGGCUGAACAUCGACAAGAUCUCGGAGCACGUGGACGAGGCCAAGAAGCUGUACAGCGUCAUCCUGUCCGCCCCCAUCCCCGAGCCCAAAACCAAGGACGACCUGGAGCAGCUCACGGCCGAGAUCAAGAAGAGAGCCAACAACGUCCGGAACAAGCUGAAGAGUAUGGAGAGGCACAUCGAGGAGGACGAGGUGCGGUCGUCCGCGGACCUCCGCAUCCGGAAGUCGCAGCACUCGGUCCUGUCCCGGAAGUUCGUGGAGGUGAUGACCCGGUACAACGAGGCCCAGGUGGACUUCCGCGAGCGCAGCAAGGGGAGGAUCCAGCGGCAGCUCGAGAUCACCGGCAAGAAGACCACGGACGAGGAGCUGGAGGAGAUGCUGGAGAGCGGGAACCCCGCCAUCUUCACCUCCGGGAUCAUCGACUCCCAGAUCUCCAAGCAAGCGCUGAGCGAGAUCGAGGGGCGGCACAAGGACAUCGUGCGGCUGGAGAGCAGCAUCAAGGAGCUGCACGACAUGUUCGUGGACAUCGCCAUGCUGGUGGAAAACCAGGGGGCCAUGAUCGACCGCAUCGAGAGCAACAUGGACCAGUCGGUGGGCUUCGUGGAGCGCGCCGUGGCGGACACCAAGAAGGCCGUCAAGUACCAGAGCGAAGCCCGGAGGGGAGCCGGGGAGCGGGGGAGUUGUUACCUGGCGAACCUAGGCUGGCUCACGACUCACGACAGGACCACAGUCAUGCUUUCUGAUCCCCAGUCAGCGGACUGGGUCUGACGGGCGGGCAUGUGCUUCACGGGAGAGACGACAGAAGUCUGAAAUUAGGACUAUUCGAAAACAUAGACCACUUCCUGAAAAAGGAAAAAUCGGGCACUUGACACCUUGGCCUGUUGCUACUUGGGAGACCCCGAGACCGUUGCUUUCUUAUCUGUCCACGUGUGCAACACUUAACGUGACGCAAGAGCCAGCAGAAGCUCCUUAUUUCCGUCUGCUGCCCUUGCUAGCCAGGAAGUCCUUAAGAAAUAUAAAACAUCAUAAUAGAACGUCUUUAUAUAGAGCUAUAGUCCUAUUUGGGUCGCUAAGAGGCUUUCGGCAUAGAGGUGAGAGCGGUCGGGUCUUGGACGAACUGCUUUUUGGUUGUUUGUAACAAUGGUUUGUUUUCUCUUAUCCUCCCCAGAAAUUGAUAAUUAUCAUUGUGGUAGUAGUGGUGUUGCUGGGCAUUUUAGCGUUGAUUAUUGGACUUUCCGUUGGGCUGAAGUAAUGGUGGCCCGAGCGGCUGCUGCACUGAAAUGCCUGCUAACGUUGCCCUCCGCCGCCAUCCUGCGCACUGAUGAGCUCCUCCCUCCCCCGCCUCCCUUAGAGCCUGAUGCACUCCAGCCUGCUGUGGCCACCCUCGUCUUCAGAUGGGAACGGAGUCCGAGGGGCCUUCCUGAGUGGGACCUGUUCCUUUGCUUCCUUGUAACCGUCCUUGGACCUGACCCAGCAAACACUCUGGCCCCGGAGGAAGCUAACCUCCCUGAUGCAACCCCGAGUUCUCCUCACACCUCCUCCUGCCCCGCCAGCUCUCGAGCACCUUCUCUCCCGGACAGUGCGAACCGCCCGGCUCCCCGUCUUCCCUCUGAACGUGUCACGUUACCCCUUGCACCGGGAGAGCUCGCUCACAACCUUCCCGAGGGGCUGUUUUCUACCUCACGGACUGUUCUCUCAGACACUGCAAUGAAUCUCUUCAGGGGUGUGCGAAACAACACAAAGGGGUUCUCCCGAGUGGGGCAACAGUAAGGCUGGACGCGAGCCUUCUACUUGGCAGGUCUCGGCCCCCAGCUUGUUGUCCCUGGGUCUUGCAAAUACGAGGGACUGCAGAUGUCACGUUGGUCUUAGAAGCUGACUUUUGGGAAAUUCGGUCUUAAAUUACCCUUUGAAGAUGUUCGGCUUGGCGGCCAACUUCAGCCUUUACGCUGUGGUUGCUCAUGUCUACUCAGGGAGGCUCCAGGGGACGUGGCGGCCUGGGGUUUCCAUCUGUAAAAGCUGAGGGUAGAGGCCUUGUUUCCCUCGGACUCUUGGAAACUGGCUCUUCUCAUCAGAGUGAUGCUUUGUGAAGCCACUGCCUUGAGGCCGGAAGAACCCAGGCGCUUAAAAUUGGGCCAGGGACGAGGUGCUGGAGCCUCAGGCUCUGGAAACGCUCAGAUUGGUGCGAGUGUUCAGUCACUCAUUUCGUAUAUUCCAGAUGUAUUGUUAUAAUCAUGUGUGUCAGAUGUAUGUUCAUGUUUGCCCGUGUCUCUCAGGAAGUAGGAACUAGAAAUGAAGACUGUUAGAACCUCAAAAAAAAAAAAAAAAAA